CGGUGGGCGCCGUUCCGGGAGGUAGAAUUCCACAGGCUGUGGAAAUGCCCGAGCGGUUGCUCGGCUUGUCUGAGGAAGACGUGUGUGGGGGGAACCACACCAUUAUGGACUCACAGAAACUGGAUUUACUCUCUUGUCUAUAACAACAAAACAAAACCACACAAGAUAUACAAAAUGCCGAUUUCCAAGAGACUGGGCAUCAGGCAAAAGAGGACGGCAAUUCCAGACACUUGGAAACACACAGGUCAGCCAAGCCCUACACAACAUAUGUGCUGCCUUGAGAGAGUUUCCAAGUAAGGUGCAGGGAGGGGAAACUGAAGAGGAGCCCAGUGUACUAUGUAGAGUUGAGGACACUGAGCUGCGAGUCCACAGGACGAUGUGGUGGGGAGGGCAGAGCUGUGAAAGUCAAUUAGCAAGAGCUGUUGGGGGGCCCUAAGUGUGCAGCACAGUCCUGCUCUGUGCCUCCAUGGGCGCCAACUCCAGCAAGUCAGGGAGCAAUCUUGUGAAAGGAUUAGAGGGAACAGAGCCUGUACAUCAGCACUGGAAAUACAGCCUGUUGCCAACAGAUAGACUGGGAAAAGUAACCCCCCUCACUCACGAGGCAGGAGGACUCAGGGAGGUCUUGCCACAGUGUUGGGAACUCCUAAUUAGCCCUCUGCUGAGCACUGCUCAGGACCACUGAAAAAUCAUUAAAGUAACACUAGACAUGAUCAAACUGUUUCCAAGUAACUGAAUUGCAUCCUUGAUCAAAGCUCAGGAUUAUAGAAAACACAAAAAUAUCCAGCAACCAAACAAGGUAACAUUCCCACUGGCCAUUCCAUCCAAGAUUUUGAGGUGUGCAGAGCAACAGGGGAAAUGACCCUUAAUGAGGAGACAGUUCAAUCAUCUGAAAAUGACCCAAAGCUGACACAGGUAUGAGACUCACCAGAGGAGGACAUUAAGGUGUUUCUUAUAAUUGUAUUCCAUGAGUUCAGAAUGUUCAACAGGUAAAUGGAAAGUGGGAAAAAGACCCAAUCUCACGUUAAGCGAUGAAAACCGCAAUGCCUGAAGAGAAGUGUACUGCAAGGGGUUGACAGCAAUAGAAAAUGCAGAAGAAAGACAUUUCAUAGGACUUGUUUUGAAUCUGCAGGCCUUGUCGAUUAGUAUUGCCCCCUUCACUCCAUUAGAAAACACAGAAGAAAAACAUUUCAUAGGACUUGUUUUGAAUCUGUAGACCCCGUUGGUUAGUAUUGCCGCCUUCACUCCAUAAAAUCUAAUCCGUGAACACAGGAUGUCUUGCUAUUUCUUUAGUUUUCUCUAAUCUCUUACAGCAGUGUUGUAUAGUUUUCACUGUAAAAGUCUUUGCUUCCUUGAAUCAGUUCAUUUAUAGAUAUUUUAUUGUUUGGGGUGCUAUUGUAAGUGCAAUUGUUUUCUUAAUUUCCUUUUCAAAUUGGUCUUUGUUGGUGUAGAGAAACACAACUGAUUUUUGUCUAUCUUGUCCUCUGCAACUUUAUAGAAUUAGUUUAUUGACUCUAGCAUUUUUGUUUGUGAAGUACUUGGGAUUUUUCUCUAGAUAGGAGGAUGCCUUCCACAAAUAGAAAUAAUUUUAUUUAUUCCUUUCCACACUAUUUUUGCUCAACUUCAAUUCUGAAAGAUAUUUGGGCUGGGUGUGGAAGCCAACAACCGCCACAGGCCACCCCUGGAUUUUUGGGACCGAGAUGAGCAGUGACAGGAGGUUGCCUAUUCUGGGUCACCUCAGCCCGGGGUCUUGGAUGAGCACACACAGCCUGGCCAGGGAAAUAGAGUCCUUGUUCUUUGCAACCGCCUCAAAUGAGAAGGACCAAAAGACCCCUUGAGGCUCCUACAGGGAGGGUUCCUGCCCCUCCCCGACCUGGGAAUGGCCCAGAAGUGAGAAGUCAGAAAAGGGAAGGGGCUGGGGUGGCUGCUGACUCCAGGCCGUGGGGGGCCCCUGAAAGCUGUGCCUAAUUCCACCUGUAGAGAGCAAAAUGGGAUCUCUCACUCAAGCAGGGGCCUGGGUCAAGCAAUAACACAAGCAGUUAAAUAUAUUGCAGCUAGGAGGUACUGCUAGGACCAGCAUCAGCUGACACCCCAGAACUGACAAUAAUUAGAAACAGAGGAGGGGGCAAGACUGAUUAAAUCCCUUUAAAAAGGAGAGGAUUUUUACAGCAAACUGUCAGACUCUUCAGACAUGACCUCUCUAUGUCAGACCACUUCAAAAAGGCAGCUACUGCUGAAGGCUCUGCCCAAUUGAUCCUCAAACAGAACUGCGAUCCUUCACUGCUUAAACAUAAUAAGCAAUAAGUGGCAUGAACUGUCCUGGACCGGACCAAGGCCAGAGGACUGCAUGCCCACAGACUGGCUUCUACACUUUCUGUCAUCUUCUUUGUUGUAUGGUUUGUCUUAUGUUCUGCUCUCUGUGUUGGGUAAGAAGCCAAGUUUAAUCACUUUGUGAAAUGUCAUUGAAUUUGGAACCCUGAAAUUGCUUUAUAAUAGUGAUUAACUUUGCUUUAUGAUCGAAUAAAGCUGACAUCGUGGAAAGACAC